UUGAGGGUCAAUACGUGUGUGAUUUUACUUUGUUAGUUACACAUCACUCUCUCUCAUAGAAUAACACAACUUUUUGAUGACCAUAAAUUUGUUGAGUUCUAAAUUAUGGACAGAUACGGAGUUGACAUUU
rfam:Agrilus planipennis Contig10034, whole genome shotgun sequence.